GCUUCAAAGUGCAUAAUUGCAUUCUCAUUGCAUCCUAGGCAUUCUUAAACCAUGAUUAAACUAUAAUAAUGAGGAUAAGAAGUAGGAACACACUAAGAAAGAAGCAUAAUGAGUUAAAAGAUUACAGAAAGUGUGUUUUGAUGUGUAUCCAUCACGUGUUUGUGUAGGUCAUGCGCCAUCAUUCGACCGAUUUGUCUACGUUGUUCAUUCUGCUUCUGGAGCUAUCUGUGACCAAGCGUGUGACUAGGCUUGAGACUUCCAGUCUAGAUCUAUUUCUGUCAAGCCAACCAUUUUACCUCAUGUGGAGGUUCUCGACAAUCUUUUGUGGUCAAGUUUUCGUGGGCAAUGUUUGUGACUAAGCUAUGAACAAGUCUUAAGUUUUUAUUUUCUUACGUUUUUUGGACAAGUUUUUGUUUACCUGUCAUAAGGCUAAGUCCCUUUUUGUUUUAUUUGUUAUGGGUGACGUAAGAAUAAUGCAUUUAUAUAUGUAUAUAAAGUUUGAAAUUUCUAUCCCAUAUAAGUCUACACAGCUCUAUGGACAUUGUAUAUUUGAUA